UAUUAGCAGCUCAACUUGUUUAUAAUGUGUGUAUUCUAGAGGCUGCUAAGGUUCUGUUUUCUUCUUAAAUACUAGCUGAUUGUUGUAGUCAAUGAAACACUUAUCCAGUUUCUGGAGGGCCAGUUAAGAAAUGCUUUCAUUCAGCUGAGACACAAAUGAUCAUCCUUACCGGCAAAGCUCUGUUUGGAUCUAUACAAUAACUUUAGGGCACCCUUUAAGAGAAGAUGAUUGAAACCUACAGCAGUCCUCAGGUCCACGGGAACCAGGGCUUGGUACAGGGAGUUCCUUUUUGUAGCCAGAAGUCCAGAAAGAAAAAGUUUACCUUUUUGACUUCCAACUAACCUUGGGAAGUUUGGCUGCAGUUCAAGUGGACUUCUUCCAGAGCCACACAUAGGUGAGUGUGAAGUUCAAGAGGGAGGAAAAUUGGAAGGGCUUCGUCUUCCUUCCUUCUUUGGAAUUCCCAGUGCUCUGUGGAAUCUGGCUUGGGGGAAACAGUGUCAGUAACUGGGCUCAGAAGGACGUGCUUUCCUGUGGUUUCUGGCUGAUCAGUGCUGGUACGAGGACUUUUUGCAGAGAGACAGAGAAGCAGGCCUUGUUCCCCCCGUCCAGCGUGUUCACAGAGCCCGGGUGUUCUUGGCGUCCAUCAGUCUUCAUAAGCUCUUGACUGUCGUUUAGCCAGACUUUUCUUGCUACCUUAAAAGCAGUACCGAGCUAGAGAAUGCUGGUUUCCAAGAGCAAAGGACACCCAUCUGCUGGAGGGUCCUCUGGCCUGCUUGCUUGCUUUCUGUAAUCUGGUACUUCCUCUCACCUCCUUUGCUUGUUUAAAUUUACAGGCUCCAGCCUUCCUGGGAGCAAACAGGGUCUGGUUAGUUUGCAGUAGGCACCUUGCAGUGGUUCAGGUCAACCGGUCCUUAGUCUUAGUCCUAGCCUGUCUGUUUGGACUCUGGCCUGGCCGAGUGGCUCGCCCAGGGAGGGCGGGCAGCAUGCAGAGCCUCUGCAGAACUCCUCCUGUGUUUAUACAGCUGCAUCAGGCGACGCCAUUUCUCCCACCACGAAACUCUCCGUCUAAGGGUUCACAUGUGGAAUGCCAGCGAUCAGGCAGCACUGAGCUAUGUAGGCGAGUGGGUUGGGGGAGGCCCACGUUCACUACUUUUUUUUUUUUUUUAAACUAAGAAACACCAAAGAAAGCUGUGGAAAGGAACCACCCCACUGAGAAAAGUAUAAGCAGAGAGGGCUGUAACAUAAAGCAUUAGAGCUACUUGGAGCGCAAACUCUUGGGGUUUGUCUCCACUCCUAAAGCACAAACGUUGAUUUUUUCAAAAGCCGGCUCUGUCAGGAAAGGGCAGAAGCUUUUCCAGGUAAGCAAAAAGGAUGCCUAUCCGUCUCUUCCAUUACUGGCUCAUCUGUGGGACCAGUUUGGUGAAAGCAAGCGGUGGCCUGCACCUGUGGCUUUGAAGCAGCACAUGUUCUCUACCCAUCUUCCUUCUGUCCUGUUUCACUGCCCCAUCUAUUCCGCAGCCUGGCCAGUGGCUCCCAUAAAGCCUUAUCUAGCCCCUUGUUGGCACUUGGGGCCUGAGAGGCCAUCUCCCCUCUGGUCUGGGCUUUUCCGUGAGUUAGGGCUCCCUUCCUCAAAGCCUUUCAGGACAAGGAGGGGAAAGCUGCGCAUUUAGACACAGGCUCCACCUGUCGCUCUCACCCAUCUUCCAAAGGGGAGCUUCACGUUGCCAGGGGAAAAGAACCAAGACCUCCACUCACUUCCAAGGUGCUAGGGAAGGUUUCAAGGUCGUUGAUUCCCAUCUUCUCUCCAGCUUUACGGGCCGAGUUUCGUGGGACUGCUGACUUUUCUAUCCUGUGAUUGAUUUCAUGCCCGAUGCUUCUGUUUUAUCCCUGAUCCUUUCUACUAUGCAUUUUCCUUUUAUCAGGUGUACAAAGUUAAAUACUGUGUAUUUAUCACUAAAAAGUACAUGAACUUAAGAGAAAAAUAAGCCUUUGGUGUUUUUCCACAAAUGUUUAAGCUUCUCUGUAAACUUGAAAUAAACAGACAGCAAAAUGGUGC
ensembl:lncRNA